rnacentral:rRNA from 1 species
AUUGAACGCUGGCGGCAGGCCUAACACAUGCAAGUCGAGCGGAUGAAGGGAGCUCGCUCCUGGAUUCAGCGGCGGACGGGUGAGUAAUGCCUAGGAAUCUGCCUGGUAGUGGGGGAUAACGUCCGGAAACGGGCGCUAAUACCGCAUACGUCCUGAGGGAGAAAGUGGGGGAUCUUCGGACCUCACGCUAUCAGAUGAGCCUAGGUCGUAUUAGCUAGUUGGUGGGGUAAAGGGCUACCAAGGCGACGAUCCGUAACUGGUCUGAGAGGAUGAUCAGUCACACUGGAACUGAGACACGGUCCAGACUCCUACGGGAGGCAGCAGUGGGGAAUAUUGGACAAUGGGCGAAAGCCUGAUCCAGCCAUGCCGCGUGUGUGAAGAAGGUCUUCGGAUUGUAAAGCACUUUAAGUUGGGAGGAAGGGCAGUAAGUUAAUACCUUGCUGUUUUGACGUUACCAACAGAAUAAGCACCGGCUAACUUCGUG